rnacentral:rRNA from 1 species
UUAAAAUGGGAUUAGAUACCCCACUAUAAGGAGCAAAAUAAAGUGUUCCCGAGGCACUAAAGUUUUUAAUAACCAAAACCUAAAAAGCUUGGCGGUAAAUUAAAUUUUUAGGGGAACGUGCCAGGUAAUAGACAAUCCGCAUGAGAUUCUUACCGGGUUUUAUAGUUUGUAUACAGCCGUCUGCAGGACCAUCCUAAAGAUGUUUCCAGUUAUUUUAGACAAUAUUAAGUCAGGUCAGUGCGCAGCCAAUAACCCGAGAACUAGGUGAGUUACAAUUCUAUAAAAAUGAACGACUAACCGUCCUGAAAGAGAUGUGUUAAAGGUGGACUUAAAAGUAAUUUAGUAAAUUUUAAGUAAUACUAUCUGAAUCUAAGCUUAAUUUGUGCACACACCGCC